CUAUACCAUUGAGAAUAAUUUCCUUCAUUAAUCUUCCUAGUUCAAUCUGCAGAAAUGGCUCAAACCAGUUUCUGCCUUCUCGCCGCCGUCCUCCUCCUCCUUCUGGUGGUUUUGGCCGAGGGUGGACCUCCUAAGCCUAUGAAAGUGAAAUGCCAAGACAGGAAAUUCCCUAGUUGUUAUCACAAAGACCUUUUCUGCCCUGUCACUUGCCCACGUACAUGUAUAGCUGACUGUGACUCAUGUCAGCCUGUUUGUGUUGCACCACCACUUCCACCACCAAAACCUCGUUCACCUAAGAAAGUGAAAUGCCAAGACAAGAAAUUCCCAAGUUGUUAUCACAAAAGCUUUGCCUGCCCUAUCAAUUGUCCGCGUACAUGUGUAGCUGAUUGUGUCUCAUGUCAACCUGUUUGUCCUGUACUUCCAACACCACUUCCACCACUAUCUCCUCCAUUCACUCCCUCUCCUCCUCUUACCCCUAAUUACUCACCACCACCUCCACCACUAGCUCCACCAUUGACUCCGUCGCCUCCUUCUACCCCUAACUCACCACCACCACCAGAUCAAGCUGCAGGUGGAAAGAGAGUUUACUGCAAGAAUAAGUUGUACCCUCAGUGCUACCGUCAGGAGUAUCAAUGUCCAAGUGCUUGUCCGGAUACUUGUGAAGUUGAUUGUGUCACUUGCAGCCCUGUUUGCAAUUGCAACAGGGCAGGUGCUGUUUGCCAAGAUCCAAGAUUUGUAGGCGCUGAUGGACUUACAUUCUACUUCCAUGGCCAAAAAGAUCAUGAUUUUUGCUUAGUGACCGAUUCCAAUCUUCACAUCAAUGCCCGUUUCAUUGGUAGGAGAAACGAAAACAUGAAGAGAGACUUCACUUGGGUACAAUCUCUUGGUAUUCUUUUCAACAACCAUCAAAUAUUCAUUGGUGCCAAUAAAACAUCAACCUGGAACGAUGCAGUUGAUCGCCUAGACUUAGCCUUCGAUGGACAAGAAAUCGUUCUCCCUGGUCGUGACGGAGCCAAGUGGGAAUCAAUGUCAGCUCAAGGGGUUUCCAUUUCAAGGACUCGCGAUACUAAUUCUGUGGUGAUUGAAGUGGAAGGGAAUUUCCAGAUAAAAGCUAGAGUGGUACCAAUUACUGAAACAGAUUCAAGAAUUCAUAAUUAUGGUAUCACAGAGGAAAAUUGCUUUGCCCAUUUAGAUUUGAGCUUCAAGUUUUACUCAUUGAGUGGGAAGGUAAAUGGAGUUUUGGGACAGACUUAUGCGAGCAAUUAUGUGAGCAGGGUGAAAAUGGGAAGUGAAAUGCCUGUUUUGGGUGGGGAGAAAGAAUUUUCCUCCUCGGAUCUUUUCUCCACUGAUUGUGCUGUUUCAAGAUUCAGUGGCACUCAAAUUGAUGAUAGCGCUACAGAAGAGUUUGAUCAGUAUGCUAGCUGACUUGAAGUGUGCAAGUGGUAUGGAUGAAAAAGGAGUUGUGUGCAAGAGAUGAAUAAUAGGAGUAUUGUCGUUAGCUUCAUUAUCCUUAUGAUGUCGCAUAAUUAAUAAUUUCAUUGUUGUUGUGCAACCACAAUUACUAAAGAUACCAAAUAAUAUUACAUUAUUUUAACGAAAUUAAGGAGUAUGAUUAUGAUCUA